AUGGCCAGAGAUGAAGACAUCUCCCACUUAUUUUCAAGUUUCCUGAACUUGAAUCUCUACAUACAGUGUCAU
ensembl:snoRNA SNORD33 Small nucleolar RNA Z195/SNORD33/SNORD32 family